rnacentral:rRNA from 1 species
GGUAGUGUAGUUAACACCUGCAUUAUUUGACGUUACCUACAGAAGAAGCACCGGCUAACUCCGUGCCAGCAGCCGCGGUAAUACGGAGGGUGCGAGCGUUAAUCGGAAUUACUGGGCGUAAAGCGCAUGCAGGCGGCCUGUUAAGUCAGAUGUGAAAGACCCGGGGCGUUAACCUACGGAAUUGCAUUUAGUAAACUGGCAGGCUAGAGUCUUGUAGAGGGGGGUAGGAAUUUCAGGUGUAGCGGUGAAAUGCGUAGAGAUCUGAAGGAAUACCAGUGGCGAAGGCGGCCCCCUGGACAAAGACUGACGCUCAGAUGCGAAAGCGUGGGGAGCAAACAGGAUUAGAUACCCUGGUAG